ACCAGGUAGCUCCGAGUGGAACAAGAUCAGCCAUAUCGGAAAACACAAUAUUGGCUUAUUGGAAGGUUGAGAUGCAAUCUCGCAGGAAUAUUAAGAUGAAGUUCGAGUACUGCAUGGCUGGAUAGAAAUUAAUUCAUGCAUUCCUUCAGGGAGAAAAGCUAUGAUUCCACCGGACAUCAUACUCUGCUGAUGAAACAGAGUCGUGCUGAUAUGAAAAUUAUCCAUGCAUUCCUUCAGGUAAUUAAUUU